CACGGGUCCAGACACAAAUGCUUAGUCAUUCUGCUUCCAACACGCGGGCUGAGACAACCCAGUGAGAAGGAACUGGACCUAGCUCCUGACACUGAGGGACAACACGUGGUUGCUGAAAGCCAGUCGGGGUCAAGGGGCAGCAGCCUCUAGUAGCUCCUGGCGGCAGGUCCAGGAUCCUCACUCCAAGUCCCCGGCAGGGCUUUCCUGUAGGCAGCCUCGGAGGAGGUAGCCAGCGUGUCCUCGGGACCCAAGGCCGCCUCCUCCUGUUAGGAGAGCAGCUGCAGCACCUGCCGGAGGCGCUCCAUCUUCCCCAGCUGCGCAUCUCGGGCCUCGGUGUCAGCCUCAUCGAGCUCCCGCAUCAGGGCCUCGGCCUUCUGGACUGUCAGCUCACGGGCACUGCCCUUCAGGCCCUCGAGGUAGUCCAGCAGGGUAGAGAAGUGCUCGUCAGGGAUCUGGGGGGAAAGAGGACAGUGCUGAGGGCCGGGGCAUGGGGAUCCUGAGCAGUGGCAGGGACCAGGGUUCCUCCCCGUGCCGGCCUAGGCGUCCAGCUUACACUGUCCUCACGAUGGGGUCUCCAGCAGAGCUGUGUGCAAGUGACCCCUCCCCGCGACCACCCUGCUGCUACUUUGUCAGGCCAAGAGGGGGACAUGAUGGAAAAGAGGCCAGUGUGCCGGCAUGACCCUCCUGUGCUUCAGGCAUUCCCUAUAUAAAUUUUAGAAACUUUUUCUUGGCUCAGGCUGGCCAAGGGUGACCCCAAACUCCUCCUCUUUCUCCCUCCCUCUCCCACAGCAGUGCUGUGGUUCCAAGUGUGCACCUUCACACCCAGUUUGUGCUGGGCUGGGGACGGAACCCAAGAUCUUGUGCCCACUAGGCAGGCACUCCACCCACCGAGCCCUAGCCGCAGCUUUUGACUUUGUUUCUAUUUCAAGAUCAUUUAUUUUCAGUAUGUCCACGUGAAGACAUCAUACAGAGGGGAGACCCACACAGCGGGUGCAGGCCUGUGUCUGAAAGUGGGUGGGGUUGAUGGUAGGUGGGUGGGGUUGACAGGCACAGCCCUCACUUGACGCCUCCAGAUAUGGGCCCCCAGCACCCUAAGAGGCACACAUGGAGCAUCUUUCACCCUGUAUGACAGACAGACACUCAAGGGAGCAGCCUUGGGGGAAGAAGUGGUGCGGCCCUUGGGCAGGGGUAGGAGAAUCCUGCAGGACAGAGGGCUUAUGGGAGUUCAGCACCGACAGGGCAGCUCCAGUCCCCUAACUUAGCUGUGGGGUUCUACUUCCAAAUUCCAUCUCUCCCCAAGGAACCAGAUCCCGCCUUGAGAGGAGCCCGGCACACCCACACUCUUGCACAUGCAGGUGGCACAGAGGACAAGGAAGGGAUUUAGGGUCCUGGCAAACAGGGGUGGAGGGGUGAGAGAAGAUGACACACCAUUGUAUGGGACCACAAGGACAGCCCUCCCAGGCUGCACCUCUGCCAUCGGAGACCAUGUGACCUGAAUGUGCGGAGUCCCUCACCUGGAUCCUGUUUGCUGUAUAUGGAUCCGGUCACUUAGGUGGGCUACCCUCUGUGCAAGGACCCCAUCUAUGUGCCAGCAUGCCAUGCAUAGGUCGUGGCACCUGGAAGACCCAGCCCCUACGCAGGUGUCCUGGUCAGGUGCUCACCUGCAUGCAGGAACCUUGCUUAGAUGGGCACCUGCGCAUAGACCCUGUCAUCCAAGGGCCCAUUGUCCAUUCAGGGCCCUGUGGACCCUGUCACAUGAAUGUCCUACUGCCCAUGAAGGGCCCCACCUUGGUCCGUCUACUGCGCACCGACCUUGUCCUCGUCAUACAUGUUCAGCAAGAGCCACGUCUGCCUUGUCUUCUGGAAUCUCCAGCUCUCCUGCUUCCGGGCCCACCUGGGAACAAAGACAGACACUUAGGAUAUGGAGGAUGGUCCCAGGGGCUCUGAGACCAGAUCACCUGCAAGCUCGUGGUAGCGGAGCCUGGCUCAGGGGGAUGUGCACCCUCAGCAUGUCUACCAUGGGGGUCUCUUACUCCAUCUCGGGUAACCUAUAUUUGUAACCACAGGGAUACAGGGUCAAUUUCCAACUCUAUGAUCCUGUUAUUUUAUGACUUUAAAGGGAGCAUUCUAAAUUUCUUGAACUCA